rnacentral:rRNA from 1 species
UAUUGGACAAUGGGCGAAAGCCUGAUCCAGCAAUGCCGCGUGAGUGAUGAAGGCCUUAGGGUUGUAAAGCUCUUUUACCCGGGAUGAUAAUGACAGUACCGGGAGAAUAAGCUCCGGCUAACUCCGUGCCAGCAGCCGCGGUAAUACGGAGGGAGCUAGCGUUGUUCGGAAUUACUGGGCGUAAAGCGCACGUAGGCGGCUUUGUAAGUUAGAGGUGAAAGCCUGGAGCUCAACUCCAGAAUUGCCUUUGAUACUGCAUCGCUUGAAUCCAGGAGAGGUGAGUGGAAUUCCGAGUGUAGAGGUGAAGUUCGUAGAUAUUCGGAAGAACACCAGUGGCGAAGGCGGCUCACUGGACUGGUAUUGACGCUGAGGUGCGAAA